rnacentral:rRNA from 1 species
AGCGAACGCUGGCGGCAGGCCUAACACAUGCAAGUCGAACGAACUCUUCGGAGUUAGUGGCGGACGGGUGAGUAACACGUGGGAACGUGCCUUUUGGUUCGGAAUAACUCAGGGAAACUUGUGCUAAUACCGAAUGUGCCCUUCGGGGGAAAGAUUUAUCGCCAUUAGAGCGGCCCGCGUCUGAUUAGCUAGUUGGUGAGGUAACGGCUCACCAAGGCGACGAUCAGUAGCUGGUCUGAGAGGAUGACCAGCCACACUGGGACUGAGACACGGCCCAGACUCCUACGGGAGGCAGCAGUGGGGAAUCUUGCGCAAUGGGCGAAAGCCUGACGCUGCCAUGCCGCGUGAAUGAUGAAGGUCUUAGGAUUGUAAAAUUCUUUCACCGGGGACGAUAAUGACGGUACCCGGAGAAGAAGCCCCGGCUAACUUCGUG